rnacentral:rRNA from 1 species
UACAGAGGUCCCGAGCGUUGUUCGGAUUCAUUGGGCGUAAAGGGCGCGUAGGCGGUCCUUCAAGUCAGGCGUGAAAGCCCCGGGCUCAACCUGGGAACCGCGCUUGAGACUGGCGGACUCGAGUUCGGGAGAGGAUGGUGGAAUUCCCAGUGUAGAGGUGAAAUUCGUAGAUAUUGGGAAGAACACCGAUGGCGAAGGCAGCCAUCUGGACCGACACUGACGCUGAGGCGCGAAAGCGUGGGGAGCAAACAGG